rnacentral:rRNA from 1 species
UACGUAGGGUGCGAGCGUUAAUCGGAAUUACUGGGCGUAAAGCGUGCGCAGGCGGUUCGUUAAGUUCGUUGUGAAAGCCCCGGGCUCAACCUGGGAACUGCAAUGGAAACUGGCGGGCUUGAAUGCGGCAGAGGGGGGUGGAAUUCCGCGUGUAGCAGUGAAAUGCGUAGAGAUGCGGAGGAACACCGAUGGCGAAGGCGGAUCUCUGGGCCGUAACUGACGCUGAGGAGCGAAAGCAUGGGGAGCGAACAGG